UACGAAGGGGGCUAGCGUUGCUCGGAAUCACUGGGCGUAAAGGGCGCGUAGGCGGCUUGCCAAGUCGGGGGUGAAAGCCCGUGGCUCAACCACGGAAUGGCCUUCGAUACUGGCAGGCUUGAGACCGGAAGAGGACAGCGGAACUGCGAGUGUAGAGGUGAAAUUCGUAGAUAUUCGCAAGAACACCAGUGGCGAAGGCGGCUGUCUGGUCCGGUUCUGACGCUGAGGCGCGAAAGCGUGGGGAGCAAACAGGAUUAGAUACCCUGGUAGUCCACGCUGUAAACGAUGAAUGCUAGCCGUUGGGGUGCAUGCACCUCAGUGGCGCCGCUAACGCAUUAAGCAUUCCGCCUGGGGAGUACGGUCGCAAGAUUAAAACUC
rnacentral:rRNA from 1 species